rnacentral:lncRNA from 1 species
GGUCUAGCUACCAUAUUAUUACCCACAAGGGUAAAGGAACAGUACCACUGCUGGAUAAUUGGAAAGUCCCUGUGUGUCAACCUCUGUGCUUCGUGGCAAGGUAGACUAGCAAACAUGCCCAACCUUUACUCACAUUCGAGAAAAACACUCCCAAUAAGAUUGCUUGCUCCAAAAUCGAAGAGGCACCGUCCUCCGAAUCUCGAGAGCCAGACUCCCAACAUGACUACUUUCUUAAAAAUCGAAGAGAGGGUAAAGGAACAGUACCAUUGCUGGAUAAUUGGAAAGUCCCUGUGUGUCAACCUCUGUGCUUCGUGGCAAGGUAGACUAGCAAACAUGCCCAACCUUUACUCACAUUCGAGAAAACACUCCCAACAAGAUUGCUUGCUCCAAAAUCGAAGAGGCACCGCCCUCCGAAUCUCGAGAGCCAGACUCCCAACAUGAUUACUUUCUCAAAAAUCGAAGAGACACUGCUCCCCGAAUCUCGAGAGCCAGACCCCCAGCAUGAUUGCUUUCUCAAAAAUCGAUGAGGCAUCGUUCUCCGAAUCAAUCGAAGAGGCGCUCGCUUUCUCAAAAGCUGGGCUGCUCAGAGACCACGAGGGCCGAUCUCAGAAAUCGAAGAGGCACCUACUUUUCUAGCCUUGUCAGCACCUGUCACACGCACACUCAGCUUUGCAGAAAUUAUGGGCAUUCUGUCGAAGACUUCUGGUGAAGUAGAAAGCACAUGAAUCUUACUGUUCAAUCACCCACUUCCCACACGCAACAAUAGCUCAUGGGUACCACAGAUAACUUUGCCAAAGUUCUCUGCCAAAGUUGAGCACGUGAAGCUUGCAGCUCCCACUACAUCGCUCUGACCAAGAAAGGUAAAAGAAUAGCAAAGAAACAGCACUAACAAAAGUUUAGACACAUAAAUUUUGAAGGUCUAGCUACCAUAUUAUUACCCACAAGGGUAAAGGAACAGUACCACUGCUGGAUAAUUGGAAAGUCCCUGUGUGUCAACCUCUGUGCUUCGUGGCAAGGUAGACUAGCAAACAUGCCCAACCUUUACUCACAUUCGAGAAAACCCUCCCAAUAAGAUUGCUUGCUCCAAAAUCGAAGAGGCACCGUCCUCCGAAUCUCGAGAGCCAGACUCCCAACAUGACUACUUUCUCAAAAUCGAAGAGAGGGUAAAGGAACAGUACCAUUGCUGGAUAAUUGGAAAGUCCCUGUGUGUCAACCUUUGUGCUUCGUGGCAAGGUAGACUAGCAAACAUGCCCAACCUUUACUCACAUUCGAGACAACACUCCCAACAAGAUUGCUUGCUCCAAAAUCGAAGAGGCACCGCCCUCCGAAUCUCGAGAGCCAGACUCCCAACAUGAU